rnacentral:rRNA from 1 species
UAAUACGUAGGGUGCAAGCGUUGCCCGGAUUUAUUGGGCGUAAAGGGCGCGUAGGCGGCUCGGCACGUCCGUUGUGAAAUCGCCCGGCUCAACUGGGCGGGGCCAGCGGAUACGGUCGAGCUUGAGCAAGCUAGGGGGCAAUGGAAUUCCCGGUGUAGUGGUGGAAUGCGUAGAUAUCGGGAGGAACACCAGUGGCGAAGGCGGUUGCCUGGGGCUUUGCUGACGCUGAUGCGCGAAAGCGUGGGGAGCGAUCCGGAUUAGAUACCCGGGU